UACGUAGGGUGCGAGCGUUGUCCGGAAUUAUUGGGCGUAAAGAGCUCGUAGGUGGCUUGUCACGUCGGGUGUGAAAGCUUGGGGCUUAACUCCAGGUCUGCAUUCGAUACGGGCUGGCUAGAGGUAGGUAGGGGAGAACGGAAUUCCUGGUGUAGCGGUGAAAUGCGCAGAUAUCAGGAGGAACACCGGUGGCGAAGGCGGUUCUCUGGGCCUUACCUGACGCUGAGGAGCGAAAGCGUGGGGAGCAAACAGG
rnacentral:rRNA from 1 species